CCUACGGGUGGCAGCAGUGAGGAAUAUUGGUCAAUGGGCGAGAGCCUGAACCAGCCAAGUCGCGUGAGGGAGUACUGCCCUAUGGGUUGUAAACCUCUUUUGUCGGGGAGCAAAAGCCGGACGUGUCCGGCUGUGAGAGUACCCGAAGAAAAAGCAUCGGCUAACCCCGUGCCAGCAGCCGCGGUAAUACGGAGGAUGCGAGCGUUAUCCGGAUUUAUUGGGUUUAAAGGGUGCGCAGGCGGAUUUUUAAGUCAGCGGUAAAAUCGUGGGGCUCAACCCCAUCCAGCCGUUGAAACUGGGGAUCUAGAGUGUGCGAGAGGUAUGCGGAAUGCGUGGUGUAGCGGUGAAAUGCAUAGAUAUCACGCAGAACCCCGAUUGCGAAGGCAGCAUACCGGUGCACAACUGACGCUCAGGCACGAAAGCGUGGGUAUCGAACAGGAUUAGAUACCCGUGUAGUC
rnacentral:rRNA from 1 species